rnacentral:sRNA from 1 species
CUUGGUCAUUUAGAGGAAGUAAAAGUCGUAACAAGGUCUCCGUAGGUGAACCUGCGGAGGGAUCAUUACCGAGUUAGGGUCUCACCGGCCCGAAUCUCCCAACCCUUUGUCUACUUGACCAUCGUUGCUUCGGCGAGCCCGUCCUCACGGACCGCCGGGGGGUCUUCGUACCCCUUGGCCCGUGCUCGUCGAUAGCCCCCAAACUUGAAAAAUCUUUAACUAAACGUGUCUUGAAUCUAAGUAUUAUUGUUAAAUAAAAACAAAACUUUCAACAACGGAUCUCUUGGUUCUGGCAUCGAUGAAGAACGCAGCGAAAUGCGAUAAGUAAUGCGAAUUGCAGAAUUCCAGUGAGUCAUCGAAUCUUUGAACGCACAUUGCGCCCUUUGGUAUUCCGAAGGGCAUGCCUGUUCGAGCGUCAUUAUCACCCCUCAAGCCCUCGGCUUGGUGUUGGACGGUUUGGUGGAGGCCCCCUUUGCGGGCCUUUACCCCUCCCAAAGACAAUGACGGCGGCCUCGUUGGACCCCCGGUACACUGAGUUCUUCACGGGACACGUAUCGGACCACGGGUUUACGGGACACGGUCUGCCUCCCCUCAGGGAGAAUCUUUUUUAUCAAGGUUGACCUCGGAUCAGGUAGGGAUACCCGCUGAACUUAAGCAUAUCAAUAAGCGGAGGAAAAGAAACCAACAGGGAUUGCCUCAGUAACGGCGAGUGAAGCGGCAACAGCUCAAAUUUGAAAUCUGGCCUCUUUGGGGUCCGAGUUGUAAUUUGUAGAGGAUGUUUCGGGUACCGCCUCGGUUUAAAUUUCUUGGAACAGAAUGUCAGAGAGGGUGAGAAUCCCGUCUUGGACCGGCGGUAGGGCCCAUGUGAAACUCCUUCGACGAGUCGAGUUGUUUGGGAAU